UCUACUCCCGACCUCCCCUUCUCUUUGGUCAAACCCAAAAACUGGCCACAACAAUUUCCUACCCUUUUAACUCUAGAAUUCGAUUCUUGCCCAGAAUUCUUGCAUCUUUUUACCCAUUUAGAGUUACCUAAUUGUUUACCCAGACAAUUUCUCCACCAAAUUGAUGAACAAAAGGUCAAAGACGAUGGAGGAGAGACUCCAAUCCAGGGUUCCUACGAUACUGCCAUACUUGUCGUCGUCAACGCCUACCGGAGCUUCCAUCCAAGACAUGCAUCCUCUCAGAACGCUGAUAGCUUCUGGUUUUAACAAGACUUCCAGCCAAAGAGACUCAAGAAGAGGGAACACAAUGAGCUAAAGACAAUUGCUGGAAAUUUUUGCACUUUUGCACAUGUAAUUGGAGCUAGAUUUAGGUGUACUCUCAAUCCCCGGCUAGAACGAUCCCUACUUAUUCUAUACUGACAACUACAUUUUGUAGGGUUAAAUUGCGCGCUUACUUUUAGCGUAUAACUUGUGUUUUCAUGUAAUCUUUCAUACUCUAUAUACUUGCUUAGUUAUUUAUACACUAUACUUGUUUAAUUAUUUUUACCUGUAAUAAUUACUAACUUUCUAAUUAUAUUCCGUCCGGCUGACGAAAGACGUUAAACUCAAGCGCUGCAUGGGAGGCAACCCAUUUCAACUGUAUCUGUGGAGGAGAUCAUCAAUGCAGAUUUGCUUUCUUGAACUCUCUCUACAUUAAUUUUUUUAUUCUUAUUUUUGGUUUUUAGGUUUCUUGCGUUAACUCUAUGCUCUCUAUACUUUGAUUGUUCGUUGCAUGCUAUAAAUUGUUUUACAUUGAGGACAAUGUAUGAUUUUAGUGUGGGGGAUGGGUUUAACGAUUUUGUGUGUUUUUAG